rnacentral:sRNA from 1 species
CUGUUUUUUUGAGAUGGGGUGUCACUCUGUUGCCCAGCCUGCAGUGCAGUGGCGCAGUCUCGGCUCACUGCAACCUCUAUCCCCUGAGUUCAAGUGAUCCUCCCUCCUCAGCAUCCUAAAUAGCUGGGACCACAGGCGUGUGCCAUCACACUCAGCUAAUUUUUGUAUUUUUGGUAGAAACAGGGUUUCACCAUGUUGCCCAGGCUGGUCGCAAACUCCUGACAUCAAGCAAUCCACCCGCCUCGGCCUCCCAACUUGCUGGGAUUACAGGCGUGAGCCACUGUACCUGGCCCCUAAGAUUCUUUCUUUCCUUUUUUUCUUUUUUUCUUUUUCUUUUUUGAUGGAGCCUCGCUAUGUUGCGCAGGCCGUGGCACAGUGGUGCGAUCUCAGCUCACUGCAACCUCAGCUUCCUGGGUUCAAGCGAUUCUCCUGCCUCAGCCUCCCAAGCAGGUGGGAUUAUAGCCGCCUGCCACCACGCCUGGCUGAUUUUUGUAUUUUUAGUAGAGACGGAGUUUCACCAUAUUGGUCAGGGUGGUCUCAAACUCCUGACCUCGGGUGAUCCACCGCCCCCAUCAGCCUCCCAAAGUGCUGGGAUUACAGGUGUGAGCCCAGCCUAAAUAGUAUUUUUUAAAUUGUAGCAAUAGACAUUUUAUUAGAAAAAGAAUUUUACUGCCAUCUGCUGGAAAGUUGUCUUCAUAACUAUAUGAAAUCUGGGUUGUCCAAGACAGGAAUAGCAUCCUUUAGAUGUUCCAAUCUGCACAAUUGUCCACCCUUCUCUGGAAUGUCUCGUGGAACAGUCAGCCCAGGUGUCUGUCCUCUCAGUAAGAUCCUCAUGGGCAAAAAGCACAGCCUCUCUUCCGUCCCUCAUCCUAAAGCUGCCUAUGUCUGUAAUGAUUUCCUUCUCUUACAGACGCUGGUUCACCAUUCAGAGCAACCAACUGGUUUACCAGAAGAAGUACAAGGUGAGUGGACCUGGGUCCUGGAUGCCUGGGCCCCAGGGAGACUCAGCUCUUGCCUGCAGCUGGACGUCUGGCCUCUUAUCACCUUAUCCUGCCAGGACCCUGUGACUGUGGUGGUGGAUGACCUUCGUCUCUGCACAGUGAAACUCUGCCCUGACUCAGAAAGGCGGUUCUGCUUUGAGGUGGUGUCCACCAGCAAGUGAGUGCAAUCCCCAGGGGUGAUACUUUAAUAUAUCUAAACAGCUGCCAAUCUGAAAGGCAGGGCCCACCACAAUGGAGGCCCCCCAUGCAGCUCCAGACUUUAAUUCUUUGGCAGCUGGACUGGGGGGCCAUUGUGGAAGAGGGUACAGGGUGAUGGGGGAUAUUUAGGAGAAUAUUACCAACUGGUACAGAAGUCUUUCAAUGCAACUGGAACUGGUUGAAUACUGGCUGAAUGUCAGUCUGCCCAUGCUGCCACUUUGCUUCCCAGGCCUCAGACCCCUCUGCCAUCUCCCUCACCCUCCUACCUAGGUCCUGCCUCCUCCAGGCUGACUCAGAGCGCCUCCUGCAGCUGUGGGUCAGUGCUGUGCAGAGCAGCAUUGCUUCUGCCUUCAGUCAGGCUCGCCUUGAUGACAGCCCCCGGGGUCCAGGCCAGGUACCUUAACCUGGGGGUGCGCAGCCAGGCUGCCUGUGGAGAUGGGGCACCCUUUACCCUAGGCCCCUUGGCCACCCUUUCUUCCCCUCUCUCCCCCAGGGCUCAGGACACCUGGCCAUAGGCUCUGCUGCCACCCUGGGCUCUGGUGGAAUGGCCAGGGGAAGGGAGCCUGGGGGAGUCGGGCACGUGGUGGCCCAGGUCCAGAGUGUGGAUGGCAAUGCCCAGUGCUGCGACUGCCGGGAGCCAGCCCCGGAGUGGGCCAGCAUCAACCUUGGUGUCACCCUCUGCAUUCAGUGUUCCGGCAUCCACAGGUUACUCCACAAGGCCCAUGCGGGAGCCCCACUCCUUCGGGCCACAGUGCGGCUCCAAUACAGAGCGCAUCACACCGGCCCCUCUUCCUUCCCUGUCCUGGCUUCCUCUCUUAGCUUCUGGCUUUGUCACUGGGUACCAGGCCUGGGCCCAAGCCUCUGGGGUGCCAGUUGGACCCAGGCGGGCCUAGCCCCUCUGUGUCCUAGUCUGGCCAGAAUUGGGGGAUACCCAGAAUUUGUUGGCUUGGUUGGAAGAAGUGUGGGGUCAAGGCUGCUGAGGGUGGGGGAGCCAAUGAAGACUAGGCAGAGAAAUGGUCAUGAGGCCUUAGCAAGUGUCUAAGGCCCUCGCCCCCCACCUCAGUGUGGUGGAAGGGAGGUGACAUGGGAGAGGUUGUCCAGGCCAAAGUGUCACUAGAGAAGGGAGGUGGCUGGAGUGAUGAGGGCCUUGAAAUGAAACCUAAGGAAGAAGGAAUGGUGACGAGGCAGGGUCCUGCCAGGGCCAGGUCAAGGCUACAUGGCAGCUACAUGGCCGCAGCUGCCCUGCCUCCUGGGCCAGCACCUCUGCACGGGCCCCCAUGCCAGCCUUGCCUCCCAGUGUCUUCAGGAGCAGCAGCAGCUCCCCAGGCCACUGCCCCCCUGCACAGGGCCUGACCCUCCCCCUCUGGCCCUCCAGGAGCCUUGGUGUUCACUUCUCCAAAGUCCGGUCUCUGACCCUUGACUCAUGGGAGCCAGAACUAGUGAAGGUAACUUAGGGUAUUGUGAAGAUUGGGGGCAAGAACUUGGGGUGGGGCAAGGACAUGGCGGUGCAGGGGCGUGAUCCCUGAGGAGUCACUCACCCCCACCUUCCCUGUCUCUGCCUCUGCCUGGGCCUCCUGAAGCUCAUGUGUGAGCUGGGAAAUGUCGUCAUCAACCAGAUCUAUGAGGCCCGCGUGGAGGCCAUGGCAGUGAAGAAACCAGGGCCCAGCUGCUCCCGGUGAGCUUGGGGUUUAGCCUCCCAGGGGAAUGGGGGACCCCUGGAGCAGAAGAGGGAAGACUGCCUGCUUCUCCCCUCCCACAGGCAGGAGAAGGAGGCCUGGAUUCACGCUAAAUACGUGGAGAAGAAGUUCCUGACCAAGCUGCCUGAGAUUCGAGGGCGAAGAGGUGGCCGGGGGCCCCCAAGGGGGCAGCCUCCUGUGCCCCCAAAGCCUUCCAUCAGGCCCCGGCCAGGGAGCUUGAGAUCCAAGCCAGGUAUAGGGUUGGUUGGGCAUUCAUUGAGCAUCUGCUGUGUGCUCGGCACCGUGCCAGGUAGCGCCAGGAGGCACAGAGUGUGAAGCCCAGGCCUUCCGCUGGAGAAUGUCGGAGGGACCGGACUGCCGUUUCAGGGGUUACAGUGGAGUGUGACAUUAAGAAUGGGAAGGAACGUGGGGCUGGGCAUGGGCAGGGAGGGUAAGGGGUGCCAACAGCAUAAGAAAAGGAGAGAGAGGGGGUGGGUUUGGCUGGAGCAUCAGGGGUUGAGAGCUGAGGCCGAGUGUCAGGCAGUCAGCUCACCUGUGUCAUCCCAGCAGUCGGGGUGGUUGGACCGGAUGAGGUGAUGAUGCCGUCUCUCCCCUACACCCUAGGGACUUGUACACAUGCAUACUCAUACUUACACAUACCCACACUUGCAUCACUCUAUUCCCUCCACAGUCCCAAGCUCCCCAUCAUUUAGAAGAGACCUGUCCCAUUAUAGCAUUGGGGCACUGCUGAGGGUUUUCUUCCCAGACUCGGAGCUGCUUCCCCCUAACAGAACCAAAUCCCCCGAACAGAACCCCCCUCUGAGGACCUGGGAAGCCUGCACCCUGGGGCCCUACUGUUUCGAGCAUCUGGGCAUCCUCCAUCUCUUCCCACCAUGGCUGAUGCCCUUGCCCAUGGAGCUGAUGUCAACUGGGUCAAUGGGGGCCAAGAUAAUGCCACACCGCUGAUCCAGGCCACAGCUGCUGUAAGAGCCCUGCCGACCUCUCCACCCCACCCUAGGGCUCUGACACCUACUCCUGACUCUGGGCCCUGCCCUUACCUCCUUUUCCCACCACCUGUUCCCUAGGGCCUGCACCCAUAGGGAGAGAUCAACAAUAGAGACUGGUUGCUAAGAGUGUGUGAUUUGGAGGCAGAGAACCUGAGUUUGAACCCAGGCUCUCACCUCUUACAGGAGACUUUUUUUUUUUUUUUUUUUUGAGACAGUCUCGCUCUGUCCCCCAGGCUGGAGUGCAAUGGUGCGAUCUGGGCUCACUGCAAGCUCCGCCUCCCGGGUUCACACCAUUCUCCUGCCUCAGCUGCCUGAGUAGCUGGGACUACAGGCGCCAGCCAGCAUGCCCGGCUAAUUUUUUGUAUUGUUAGGAGAGAUAGGGUUUCACCGUGUUAGCCAGGAUGGUCUGGAUCUCCUGACCUUGUGAUCCACCCGCCUCGGCCUCCCAAAGUGCUGGCAUUACUGGCGUGAGCCACUGUGCCCGGCCUACAGGAGACUUUUAACAAGUUAUUAACCUCUCAGCCUCAUCUGUAAAAUAGUAACAUACCUCAUAAGCUUGUACUAUGGAUUUAUAUAUGAAUACAUGCAAAGAGCUAGAGCCAAGCCUAGCUUGGUUACAGUUAGCUGUAACCCCUUCCACACUCCUGAUUACCACACUCCACCCUCCCAUUCUCUGAACUGGCGCCACCCUAAGACAUCUUGAAAUCCACCACUAGGGAUGCCACCCUCAACCCCCCUUCUCGACUUCUCCAUGCAGAAUUCUCUUCUGGCCUGUGAGUUUCUCCUCCAGAACGGGGCGAACGUGAACCAAGCGGACAGUGCGGGCCGGGGCCCGCUGCACCACGCAACCAUUCUUGGCCACACGGGGUAGGGAUGAUGGCAUGGGGAGGAAGGCUGGGAGAAGUUGGGCGGCCGGCUGACCCUGGCUCUUCUCUCCAGGCUCGCCUGCCUGUUCCUGAAACGGGGAGCUGAUCUGGGGGCUCGAGACUCUGAAGGCAGGGAUCCUCUGACCAUCGCCAUGGAAACAGCCAACGCUGACAU